GACCAUGUGGCCUAUUGGCUAAGAAGGUGUCUGACUUAUGAUCAGAAAAUUGAGGAUUGAAAUCCCUUUGUGGCUG
rnacentral:tRNA from 1 species